rnacentral:rRNA from 1 species
AACGCGAAGAACCUUACCAAGGUUUGACAUGGGCCGAAAACUCGCAGAGAUGCGGGGUCCUUCGGGGCGGUUCACAGGUGGUGCAUGGCUGUCGUCAGCUCGUGUCGUGAGAUGUUGGGUUAAGUCCCGCAACGAGCGCAACCCUCGUCCUAUGUUGCCAGCGGGUCAUGCCGGGGACUCAUGGGAGACUGCCGGGGUCAACUCGGAGGAAGGUGGGGAUGACGUCAAGUCAUCAUGCCCCUUAUGUCUUGGGCUGCAAACAUGCUACAAUGGCCGGUACAGAGGGCUGCGAGCCUGCAAGGGUGAGCGAAUCCCGGAAAGCCGGUCUCAGUUCGGAUCGGGGUCUGCAACUCGGCCCCGUGAAGCCGGAGUCGCUAGUAAUCGCGGAUCAGCAACGCCGCGGUGAAUACGUUCCCGGGCCUUGUA